GCUCCGUAGGUGAACCUGCGGAGGGAUCAUUACAGAGUUCAUGCCCUACCGGGUAGAUCUCCCACCCUAUGUUAUUACUACUUUGUUGCUUUGGCGGGCCGUUAGGCUCCGGCCCGACUACCGGCCCCGGCUGGUAAGCGCCCGCCAGAGGACCCAAAACCCUGAAUAUUAGUGUCGUCUGAGUACUAUAUAAUAGUUAAAACUUUCAACAACGGAUCUCUUGGUUCUGGCAUCGAUGAAGAACGAAGC
rnacentral:misc_RNA from 1 species